rnacentral:rRNA from 1 species
AGAUUGAACGCUGGCGGCAUGCCUUACACAUGCAAGUCGAACGGCAGCACGGGAGUAAUCCUGGUGGCGAGUGGCGAACGGGUGAGUAAUACAUCGGAACGUGCCCAAUCGUGGGGGAUAACUACGCGAAAGCGUGGCUAAUACCGCAUAAGAUCUACGGAUGAAAGCAGGGGAUCGCAAGACCUUGCGCGAAUGGAGC